rnacentral:tRNA from 1 species
GCCCUGGUAGUUUAGCCCGGACAGAACGGGGGACUUCGGAUCCCCAGACCCGGGUUCAAAUCCCGGCCAGGGCU